rnacentral:rRNA from 1 species
GUGCCAGCCGCCGCGGUAAUACGUAGGGGGCAAGCGUUGUCCGGAUUUAUUGGGCGUAAAGAGCGUGUAGGCGGCUUGGUAGGUCCGCUGUGAAAACUCGAGGCUCAACCUCGAGAUGUCGGCGGAAACCACUUGGCUAGAGUCCGGAAGAGGAGAGUGGAAUUCCCGGUGUAGCGGUGAAAUGCGCAGAUAUCGGGAAGAACACCUAUGGCGAAGGCAGCUCUCUGGGACGGUACUGACGCUGAGACGCGAAAGCGUGGGGAGCGAACAGGAUUAGAAACCCCCGUAGUCC